AUUGAACGCUGGCGGCAUGCUUUACACAUGCAAGUCGAACGGUAACAGGGAGCUUGCUCCGCUGACGAGUGGCGAACGGGUGAGUAAUGCGUCGGAACGUGCCGAGUAGUGGGGGAUAACGCAUCGAAAGGUGUGCUAAUACCGCAUACGAACUGAGGUUGAAAGUGGGGGACCUUCGGGCCUCACGCUAUUCGAGCGGCCGACGUCUGAUUAGCUAGUUGGUGAGGUAAAGGCUCACCAAGGCGACGAUCAGUAGCGGGUCUGAGAGGAUGAUCCGCCACACUGGGACUGAGACACGGCCCAGACUCCUACGGGAGGCAGCAGUGGGGAAUUUUGGACAAUGGGCGCAAGCCUGAUUCAGCCAUGCCGUGUGUCUGAAGAAGGCCUUCGGGUUGUAAAGGACUUUUGUCGGGGAGGAAAUCCCCAGCGCUAAUACCGCUGGGGGAUGACAGUACCUGAAGAAUAAGCACCGGCUAACUACGUGCCAGCCGCCGCAGUAACAC
rnacentral:rRNA from 1 species